rnacentral:rRNA from 1 species
UACGAAGGGGGCUAGCGUUGUUCGGAAUUACUGGGCGUAAAGCGUGCGCAGGCGGCUUCUCAAGUCAGGGGUGAAAGCCCAGAGCUCAACUCUGGAAUUGCCUUUGAGACUGAGUGGCUUGAGUACGAGAGAGGUGAGUGGAAUUCCCAGUGUAGAGGUGAAAUUCGUAGAUAUUGGGAAGAACACCGGUGGCGAAGGCGGCUCACUGGGCU